AUUGAACGCUGGCGGCAGGCCUAACACAUGCAAGUCGAGCGGUAGCACAGAGAGCUUGCUCUCGGGUGACGAGCGGCGGACGGGUGAGUAAUGUCUGGGAAACUGCCUGAUGGAGGGGGAUAACUACUGGAAACGGUAGCUAAUACCGCAUAAUGUCGCAAGACCAAAGUGGGGGACCUUCGGGCCUCAUGCCAUCAGAUGUGCCCAGAUGGGAUUAGCUAGUAGGUGGGGUAACGGCUCACCUAGGCGACGAUCCCUAGCUGGUCUGAGAGGAUGACCAGCCACACUGGAACUGAGACACGGUCCAGACUCCUACGGGAGGCAGCAGUGGGGAAUAUUGCACAAUGGGCGCAAGCCUGAUGCAGCCAUGCCGCGUGUGUGAAGAAGGCCUUCGGGUUGUAAAGCACUUUCAGCGGGGAGGAAGGCGUUAAGGUUAAUAACCUUGGCGAUUGACGUUACCCGCAGAAGAAGCACCGGCUAACUCCGUGCCAGCAGCCGCGGUAAUACGGAGGGUGCAAGCGUUAAUCGGAAUUACUGGGCGUAAAGCGCACGCAGGCGGUCUGUCAAGUCGGAUGUGAAAUCCCCGGGCUCAACCUGGGAACUGCAUUCGAAACUGGCAGGCUAGAGUCUUGUAGAGGGGGGUAGAAUUCCAGGUGUAGCGGUGAAAUGCGUAGAGAUCUGGAGGAAUACCGGUGGCGAAGGCGGCCCCCUGGACAAAGACUGACGCUCAGGUGCGAAAGCGUGGGGAGCAAACAGGAUUAGAUACCCUGGUAGUCCACGCCGUAAACGAUGUCGAUUUGGAGGUUGUGCCCUUGAGGCGUGGCUUCCGGAGCUAACGCGUUAAAUCGACCGCCUGGGGAGUACGGCCGCAAGGUUAAAACUCAAAUGAAUUGACGGGGGCCCGCACAAGCGGUGGAGCAUGUGGUUUAAUUCGAUGCAACGCGAAGAACCUUACCUGGUCUUGACAUCCACAGAACUUUCCAGAGAUGGAUUGGUGCCUUCGGGAACUGUGAGACAGGUGCUGCAUGGCUGUCGUCAGCUCGUGUUGUGAAAUGUUGGGUUAAGUCCCGCAACGAGCGCAACCCUUAUCCUUUGUUGCCAGCGGUUCGGCCGGGAACUCAAAGGAGACUGCCAGUGAUAAACUGGAGGAAGGUGGGGAUGACGUCAAGUCAUCAUGGCCCUUACGACCAGGGCUACACACGUGCUACAAUGGCAUAUACAAAGAGAAGCGACCUCGCGAGAGCAAGCGGACCUCAUAAAGUAUGUCGUAGUCCGGAUUGGAGUCUGCAACUCGACUCCAUGAAGUCGGAAUCGCUAGUAAUCGUAGAUCAGAAUGCUACGGUGAAUACGUUCCCGGGCCUUGUACACACCGCCCGUCACACCAUGGGAGUGGGUUGCAAAAGAAGUAGGUAGCUUAACCUUCGGGAGGGCGCUUACCACUUUGUGAUUCAUGACUGGGGUGA
rnacentral:rRNA from 1 species